AGUAAGAACCCGGGACACCAAGAUCUGAGGAGGGUCCCUGGCUGGCAACACUCCCUGCGUGCCGGGAGGAGUGAAGGGAGAGGACAGCUGAUAACUGGUCUCCGUGGAGCCUUCCGGGCCCUCUUCCUGGCUGCUUCCAGCGCGUCCUUCUCUGUGAUAAGCCGUGACUGUGAACAUGGCUGUGAGUCCUUCUAGAGAACUCGCAAGUAUGCCAAGGUCUUGGGGGCCCUACUGACUUGCAGCUGGUGUUGGAUGGAGCCCCACAUGGACUGUCCCUCCUUGCUGCGCCAUGGCCUCCCCACCGUGGGUCACACUGGUUUUCGGGGGCUAAGCAGCGGUUUUCCCUCCGCUUCCUCCUGGCUUCCCCGCUCCCCUGCCUCCUCCCCUCCCCCGUCGCAGCCCCGUCAGGCUCACCCAGAACUCUUCCAGCAGGGCCACCGCCUCCUCCCAGCUUAGCGGCUGACGGCUGCACACCCAGGCCUGCGUGUCGGCUGGCAGCGCGCUCAGAAACUGCUCCAGCACCAGCAGCUCCAGCAUCUGCUCCUUGGUGUGCACCUCGGGCCGCAGCCGGUCCCGGCACAGGGCGCGUAGCAGCCCCAGCGCCUCGUGCGGGCCCGGCGCCUCGCCCAGGUGGAAGCGGCGGAAGCGGUGCCACGAGGAGCCCAGCGCCAGGCCCUCGGCCUCCUGCUUCAGCGGCACCGUCAGCUCCAUGGGGCCUCCUGGACGGCAGCGCCUGCCCCGCGUGGCCCAGGGUGCAAAGAGGUCUCUGUGAGGGGCGGCGCUCACUCGGGCGGUGAGGAAAGGGUGUCUGUCUCGUGGGAUCCCACGGAGUCAAGUGCCGGCUCUGCCCCUCGUUGGGCCCCUUCCGCGGCUUCUGUACCUCAGUCCUGCAGCUCCUCCCGCAGCCUGUCCUACAGCACAAAGGCUCUGGAGCAAAUUCCAGCUCUGCCUCCCACCAGCUCUGUGUCCUUGGACAAGAGGGAAUGCAGUAUGGCAGCAUUUUCUUUGGAACAAAUUAAGAAGAUAGUAACAAAUAACAGAAGAAAUACUUCUACACAUAUAUUUUCCAUGGGCAAUAAACAGAUAAGUAUAUAAUUAUGAAA
rnacentral:lncRNA from 1 species